rnacentral:rRNA from 1 species
GUGGUUUGCGGCAGCUACCAUGCAAGUCGAGCGGGGGAAGGUAGCUUGCGUACUGGACCUAGCGGCGGACGGGUGAGUAAUGCUUAGGAAUCUGCCUAUUAGUGGGGGACAACAUCUCGAAAGGGAUGCUAAUACCGCAACGUCCUACGGGAGAAAGCAGGGGAUCUUCGGACCUUGCGCUAAUAGAUGAGCCUAAGUCGGAUUAGCUAGUUGGUGGGGUAAAGGCCUACCAGGGCGACUAUCUGUAGCGGGUCUGAGAGGAUGAUCCGCCACACUGGGACUGAGACACGGCCCAGACUCCUACGGGAGGCAGCAGUGGGGAAUAUUGGACAAUGGGGGGAACCCUGAUCCAGCCGUGCCGCGUGUGUGAAGAAGGCCUUAUGGUUGUAAAGCACUUUAAGCGAGGAGGAGGCUACUUUAGUUAAUACCUAGAGAUUGUGGACGUUACUCGCAGAAUAAGCACCGGCUAACUCUGUGCCAGCAGCCGCGGUAAUACAGAGGGUGCGAGCGUUAAUCGGAUUUACUGGGCGUAAAGCGUGCGUAGGCGGCUUAUUAAGUCGGAUGUGAAAUCCCCGAGCUUAACUUGGGAAUUGCAUUCGAUACUGGUGAGCUAGAGUAUGGGAGAGGAUGGUAGAAUUCCGGGUGUAGCGGUGAAAUGCGUAGAGAUCUGGAGGAAUACCGAUGGCGAAGGCGGCCAUCUGGCCUAAUACUGACUCUGAGGUACGAACGCAUGGGGAGCACACAGGAUUAGAUACCCUGGUAGUCCAUGCCGUACACGAUGUCUACUAGCCUUUGGGGCCUUUGAGGCUUUAGUGGCGCAUCUAACGCGAUAAGUAGACCGCCGGGGGAGUACGGUCGCAAGACUAACACUCAUAUGAAUUGACGGGGGCCCGCACAAGCGGUGGAGCAUGUGGUUUAAUUCGAUGCAACGCGGAGAAACUUACCUGGCCCUGACAUACUAGAAACUUUCCGAGAUGGAUGGGUGCCCUCGGGAAUCUUGAUACAGGUGCUGCAGGGGUGUCCUCCGCUCGUGUCGGGGGAAAUUUGGGUUAAUUCCGCCAACGGGGGCACCCUUUUCUUUCUUGCCGCGCUUUUGAAAGGGAAUUUUUUGGAAACGCGCCUGACAAACUGGUGGAAGGCGGGGGGAACCUUCU